UACGUAGGGGGCAAGCGUUAUCCGGAUUUAUUGGGCGUAAAGAGCUCGUAGGCGGUUUGUCGCGUCUGCUGUGAAAACCCGAGGCUCAACCUCGGGCCUGCAGUGGGUACGGGCAGACUAGAGUGCGGUAGGGGAGAUUGGAAUUCCUGGUGUAGCGGUGAAAUGCGCAGAUAUCAGGAGGAACACCGGUGGCGAAGGCGGGUCUCUGGGCCGAUACUGACGCUGAGGAGCGAAAGCGUGGGGAGCGAACAGG
rnacentral:rRNA from 1 species